UACGUAGGGUGCAAGCGUUGUCCGGAAUUAUUGGGCGUAAAGAGCUCGUAGGCGGUGUGUCGCGUCGGCCGUGAAAACCUGCAGCUUAACUGUGGGCUUGCGGUCGAUACGGGCAUCACUGGAGUUCGGCAGGGGAGACUGGAAUUCCUGGUGUAGCGGUGAAAUGCGCAGAUAUCAGGAGGAACACCGGUGGCGAAGGCGGGUCUCUGGGCCGAUACUGACGCUGAGGAGCGAAAGCGUGGGGAGCGAA
rnacentral:rRNA from 1 species